CGAGCGGCGGACGGGUGAGUAACGCGUGAGAAUCUACCCAUGAGUGGGGGACAACCCGGGGAAACUCGGGCUAAUACCGCAUACGCCCUACGGGGUAAAGCAGGGGACCUUCGGGCCUUGCGCUGAUGGAUGAGCUCGCGUCGGAUUAGCUUGUUGGUGAGGUAAAGGCUCACCAAGGCGACGAUCCGUAGCUGGUCUGAGAGGAUGAUCAGCCACACCGGGACUGAGACACGGCCCGGACUCCUACGGGAGGCAGCAGUGGGGAAUCUUGGACAAUGGGGGCAACCCUGAUCCAGCCAUGCCGCGUGUGUGAAGAAGGCCUUCGGGUUGUAAAGCACUUUCAGCAGGGAGGAAGGCUUACCCCUAAUACGGGUGAGUACUUGACGUUACCUGCAGAAGAAGCACCGGCUAAUUUCGUGCCAGCAGCCGCGGUAAUACGAAAGGUGCAAGCGUUAAUCGGAAUUACUGGGCGUAAAAGCGCGCGUAGGCGGUGUGUUAAGUCGGAUGUGAAAGCCCAGGGCUCAACCUUGGAAUUGCAUCCGAUACUGGCACGCUAGAGUGCAGUAGAGGGAGGUGGAAUUUCCGGUGUAGCGGUGAAAUGCGUAGAGAUCGGAAGGAACACCAGUGGCGAAGGCGGCCUCCUGGACUGACACUGACGCUGAGGUGCGAA
rnacentral:rRNA from 1 species